AGCUCUAGGCCAUAUAAACCUGAAGCAUAUAAAUCUGGUGCUUGUUUUGCCCACCAUGAGGAGAAAUCUGGCCUGAAUAUGAAGCCAAGGCAGAGGAAGGUAGAGCCUAGACAUGAAGAGAAAGAAGAAGUUACAAGAAACAAACAAAGGAGGAGAAUGAAGAUGCAGAGACCAAGAGAAGAAUUCACAAGUAACACCGUAUAUCUAAAAGACAAGGAAAAAGUAAAAAGAUUGAAAGGAGGAUGAAGACAAGCCAAUGUAUUGGGAAAAUUGCACUGAAAUGACUGCAUCAAUCCUGAGGGGUUAACGAGGAACUUCU